GACAGAGGGUGCAAACGUUGCUCGGAAUUACUGGGCGUAAAGCGCGUGUAGGCUGACCGGAAAGUCGGGCGUGAAAGCCCUGGGCUCAACCCAGGAACUGCACUCGAAACUCCCGGUCUAGAGUGGUGGAGAGGGAAGUGGAAUUCCUGGUGUAAAGGUGAAAAUUCGUAGAUAUCAGGAGGAACACCAGUGGCGAAGGCGGCUCACGUGGCCCAUAACUGACGCUGAGCACGAAAGCGUGGGGAGCAACAGG
rnacentral:rRNA from 1 species